AUUGAACGCUGGCGGCACGCUUAACACAUGCAAGUCGAACGGUAACAGGAUCUAGCUUGCUAGAUUGCUGACGAGUGGCGGACGGGUGAGUAAUGCAUAGGAAUCUGCCUCUAGGCGGGGGAUAACUCGGGGAAACUCGAGCUAAUACCGCGUAAUGUCUACGGACCAAAGUGUGCCUCUGCUUGCAAGCAUACACCUAGAGAUGAGCCUAUGUUGGAUUAGCUAGUUGGUGGGGUAAAGGCCUACCAAAGCGACGAUCCAUAGCUGGUUUGAGAGGAUGAUCAGCCACACUGGGACUGAGAUACGGCCCAG
rnacentral:rRNA from 1 species